GGCUAUCUAAAAUCCACUGUCCUGAGGGUCCUCCCAAUUUCUCACCAAAUCUGCCCCAUGGGUACACAAGCAAGAGUGAGACUGAGAGAGACACUCCCUGGGCCAUCUCACUUGUUCUCCAAAACCUUGGCUUCCAGCAUGAGAAGGUUCUGAGAAUAUCAAGGUCAUCUAGUGCCAUGGGGAUGGGCAGUCACAGCCAUCUUCUUCUCACAAGCCAAGACUGCAGAUGAUGUUGGUUCUUCAUAGACAAAGAGGAUUUGGAUUUAUGGACAAGAGAAAUAUUAUUUAUAGCUCUCCUGGUAUUAGAGAAGAUGGUCCAGUUCAAGUCAAUAUAACAAACAGACAAAGAAGGUUCACCCAGAGUGUAGCAAACAUGGCUGCCAGUACCAUACAGACUCAUGGUCCUCCUUGGAACCAAUGCCCAGUGCAAAUGGAAGACAGGGGCCCUGCUAGAGGCAAUGAUGAGAAAGAACCCCCACCCCGGUGAAUUAGAGCCGACUCCACUUGCCAAAGUACCAGAAGGCAGUGCACAUAAAUAAAACAAUAGGAACACGGCACAUUGAAGUCAGAGCAAACGACCCUGGGAGAAGAGCACCUCAAGGGAGCCAAGAGACAGAGGGUGAGUCCCAGGAUCAAGGAAUGAGGCUCACAGGAGGCCUGGGGAAGCUGCAGCAUGCACCCAGGCUGGAAGCCAAGUCCCAGUGCUCAUCUUGAAGUAAUUAGAAUACUACUAAAAAUCUCAUUUGUCUUGAUAUUUUAAUUACUGGCAAGAUAAGACAAAUGUUUUUAAAGGCCUAAA